rnacentral:tRNA from 1 species
AGGGUAAUAGCUCACUGGAAGAGCACAUGCUUAGUGUGCAUGACGUCCUGGGUUUAAUCCCAAUUACCUCA